AGAGACCUUAGGAGGCAAAAUUACAGUCAUUUGGGAAAAAGCUAUAAACGAAAUGAUAUCUCAACUGCAUCAACAUCUGCCAAGACUUUCUCUCUCCUCCUCUGUAAACAAGUAUAUAUUAAAACAGAUUGAAGCCUGCUGGUAAAUUCCAGCCACUGAGCAGCUGCUGCCUCUGAAGACUGGAGAUAUAUUACUGAAUAAUGUCUGCAGCGUUCUUCCCCAAGGAGCUGGGGAGCUACAGCCUCAAUAGUGAUUUAUCCCCAGAUGAGUUUCAGAGCUUCAUGGGAACUAGCUGUUUUGUCAGUGUUCCUGCUGAAGCUCCCUGCCAGCAUCAGAGAUAAAGAGAUCUCUCUCACACACAAGAUAUCCCCAGGAUUCUGGUACCUGGCAUGUGCAACUCCAGCAGAUGCUGAAAACAUACAGAUAAAGACAUUUUGAUAUGCACUGAACACAGAGCUUGCAGUGGGGGUCACGUAAACUACAGCCCCAUGGAGAACAACAGUUGACAUGAGGUAUGUUUCCAUUCUUUUAUUGCUUGGACAACUGGAAGGCUUUUGUUUGUAUCCCACAUGUGCUCAUACACAUGUGGGAUUAUUCUUGACCCCCAAGUCCUUUCAUCAUAAUAAAAUAAGGCUGGACAAUGAAGUAACAAAAAAAAUCCCCCAAUGUUUGGAACAAAAGCCAGCCCUCUCCUCCCUCCCCUUGCACAUAUUUUUUGUUAAACAUAAUUUUCAACCAGUUGUAGCUUUGUUCAGGAAAUUCAUGCUUAGGCAAGUUACAAGUUGAAACUCACCUCCCUCUUACCAGAUUUGCACAAUGUUUUUACUUCUGGCAGCUGGCCACAGCCUGGCCAAUUCUGAGUAACAAAGCCUCUGGAGGGCCAUAUUUUGUGAGCUAGCAGCAUGUGCUUGGCAUGCCCACAUUUGUUCAGUAAAAAAAAUGUAGGUGGACAAUGAGGAUUAUUUCCAUAGCUGACUAAAAUAAUUGAACUGUAAGUUGCAAAAGUAAAUUGCAAAUUUAAUCCUUUUUUUUAUUAGUCUCAUUUCAAAUGUCAGUGAUAUUUACAUAACAGGACAGAAGGAGAAGACAGUGAGGGGGUGGGUAAGCAAUGAAUGACUUAUUAGAGAUUCAUUUAGUGUACUAGUCCAAAACAAACGGGGUAGAGCAUAUGGUUAACUUAUUUUCUGUUUGCGUGUAAUCAAAGAUGGACGCUAAUACCUCCCAGCCUGAUCUUUAAUCAUAUAUAUUUGCUUUUCAAUCGAGUUUUAAAAUGGAACGUCUAUAAAGCAAUCCCUAAAGAGCUUGGUAUGAGAAUCUGGCAGAAAAGAUCCUUCAGAUAUCUGUUUGUGCCGCAUGAGGAGAGAAGCAACCGAGCACUGCGAUUAGCCUGUGUUGUAGAGGCUGUAGGUAACUCUCCCUGAAAAUUGUUCGAAGUGUCUAGCUGCUUUGCCUCAUUCCUCCCUUCUGUUUCCUCAGCUCUCUGUCUCCAGGAAAAAUUCCUGCUGGUCUCUGGAAACUCUUUCCUCACUGAAGUACGGGUCAGGCUUCCUGUCCUUUCUGAUGGAAGGGUCAAAGAAUAGAAAUUAUUACAAGAAUCCCCUCAGGACUCACCUCACACUCAUCCUUCUGCAAAGCAGGCAAUGCUCCCUCCUCCCCAGCCACACCAGCAGGGCUGAGGGCUGGCCAAAAGCCCAUCUGACCCUUCUCCAGCACACCGAGGCUCAAUGGGGGCUCAAAGCUGCCUGCCCAGUGAAACCAUGGGGUGAUGUGCCCUCUUGAUGCAGUGUCUGCCAGCCCUCCUCCCUGGCUGCAGCUCUCCCAGUACUCCAGGAAAGAAAAGACAUCUCCAUCUCUGCUACUUCUGCUGGUUACCCUCCUGGCCCCAGCAAUACAUACUGCCCUCACUUCAAUCCCCUGCUACAGAGGCCCAUGACUACUUCCCCCCCUUGACAACCCCUGCGAGCAUCCUAUCCAGGCGGUCUAGACUGAGCGAGGAGAUGUUACUAUGGAAACAUUGACGUCUUCCUUGUCUUUUGUGCACUUAAUAACAUAGUAUUCAGCAUGUUUAUCUCCUGUAUAGUUGCUGGUGGAAGAAGAAAACCUCUUCUCCUUUGCCACAUUAAUUUAAAAAAACCAAAACCCCAACAAA